rnacentral:rRNA from 1 species
UACGUAGGGUGCGAGCGUUGUCCGGAAUUAUUGGGCGUAAAGAGCUCGUAGGCGGUGUGUCGCGUCGGCCGUGAAAACCUGCAGCUUAACUGUGGGCGUGCGGUCGAUACGGGCAUCACUGGAGUUCGGCAGGGGGAGACAUGGAAUUCCUGGUGUGAGACGGUGAAAUGCGCAGAUAUCAGGAGGAAACACCGAUGGCGGAAGGCAGCUCGCUGGGACGGUACUGACGCUGGAGGCGACGAAAGCGUGGGGAGCAAACAGG